rnacentral:rRNA from 1 species
CAGCUUGUUGGUGAGGUAACGGCUCACCAAGGCGACGACGGGUAGCCGGCCUGAGAGGGUGACCGGCCACACUGGGACUGAGACACGGCCCAGACUCCUACGGGAGGCAGCAGUGGGGAAUACUGCACAAUGGGCGAAAGCCUGAUGCAGCGACGCCGCGUGGGGGAUGACGGUCUUCGGAUUGUAAACCCCUUUCAGUAGGGACGAAGCGCAAGUGACGGUACCUGCAGAAGAAGCACCGGCUAACUACGUGCCAGCAGCCGCGGUAAUACGUAGGGUGCGAGCAUUGUCCGGAAUUACUGGGCGUAAAGAGCUCGUAGGCGGUUUGUCACGUCGUCUGUGAAAUCCCUCGGCUUAACCGGGGGCGUGCAGGCGAUACGGGCAGACUUGAGUACUACAGGGGAGACUGGAAUUCCUGGUGUAGCGGUGAAAUGCGCAGAUAUCAGGAGGAACACCGGUGGCGAAGGCGGGUCUCUGGGUAGUAACUGACGCUGAGGAGCGACAGCAUGGGUAGCGAACAGGAUUAGAUACCCUGGUAGUCCAUGCCGUAAACGGUGGGCGCUAGGUGUGGGGUCCUUCCACGGACUCCGUGCCGUAGCUAACGCAUUAAGCGCCCCGCCUGGGGAGUACGGAAUCUCUAG